UACGGAGGGUGCAAGCGUUGUUCGGAAUCAUUGGGCGUAAAGGGCGCGUAGGCUGUCCGGUAAGUCGGGUGUGAAAUCCCUGGGCCUAACCCAGGAAGUGCACCCGAAACUGUCGGACUUGAGUACGGGAGAGGGAAGUGGAAUUCCUGGUGUAGGGGUGAAAUCCGUAGAUAUCAGGAGGAACACCGGUGGCGAAGGCGACUUCCUGGACCGAUACUGACGCUGAGGCGCGAAAGCGUGGGGAGCAAACAGG
rnacentral:rRNA from 1 species